rnacentral:snRNA from 1 species
GACGUGAGGGUGAUCUGGCGGCAACACUUGUCACCCCACUGAUGGCUAGUAUUCACUCAGCUGAUCUGGCUGGCCAGGUGGGGUUCCCUUCCUCCCCCACGGGGACAUGCACAUCCCUCCCAAAGCUGAACUCUCUGUCCAAGAAGACAACCUUUUCUGACAGAGGAGGACCGACUUUGGUCAAGGGGAUAGGAGUAGCUGCUGUCUCCAGCAGAGCCUUGAAACAAACUCUCGAGGUCCAUUUGUAGGAGAAGGCGGGGUACUCUAGCUUCCAACACCCCAGACACCCAUAAAGCACUGCAUGUGUCAGUCUACCUUUCUUU